rnacentral:rRNA from 1 species
ACGAACGCUGGCGGCGUGCCUAAUACAUGCAAGUUGAGCGCUGAAGGUUGGUACUUGUACCAACUGGAUGAGCAGCGAACGGGUGAGUAACGCGUGGGGAAUCUGCCUUUGAGCGGGGGACAACAUUUGGAAACGAAUGCUAAUACCGCAUAAAAACUUUAAACACAAGUUUUAAGUUUGAAAGAUGCAAUUGCAUCACUCAAGGAUGAUCCCGCGUUGUAUUAGCUAGUUGGUGAGGUAAAGGCUCACCAAGGCGAUGAUACAUAGCCGACCUGAGAGGGUGAUCGGCCACAUUGGGACUGAGACACGGCCCAAACUCCUACGGGAGGCAGCAGUAGGGAAUCUUCGGCAAUGGACGAAAGUCUGACCGAGCAACGCCGCGUGAGUGAAGAAGGUUUUCGGAUCGUAAAACUCUGUUGGUAGAGAAGAACGUUGGUGAGAGUGGAAAGCUCAUCAAGUGACGGUAACUACCCAGAAAGGGACGGCUAACUACGUG